UACGGGGGGGGCAAGCGUUGUUCGGAAUUACUGGGCGUAAAGGGCUCGUAGGCGGCCAACUAAGUCAGACGUGAAAUCCCUCGGCUUAACCGGGGAACUGCAUCUGAUACUGGAUGGCUUGAGUUCGGGAGAGGGAUGCGGAAUUCCAGGUGUAGCGGUGGAAUGCGUAGAGAUCCGGAAGAACACCGGUGGCGAAGGCGGUCUGCUGGGCAGUUGCUGACACUGAGGCGCGACAGCGUGGGGAGCAAACAGG
rnacentral:rRNA from 1 species